rnacentral:ncRNA from 1 species
UAAACAUUGGGUUUUAUUCUGGCUCGGAGUGAAUGCUUGUGACAGGCUUAACACAUGCAAGUUUGACGUUUAUAUUCUAAGCACAAAUAAUUACUUUUAGUAAUAGAAAUGUAAAUGUAGCGAACGGGUGUAUAAUAUAUAUUGAGAAUACCUAUAAGUUUGGAAUGUAUAUUUUUUAAGAAUAUGAAUUCCAAUAAAGAUAAAAUAUCGCUUAUAGAUUUUCAUAUAUAGUUUUAGGUUGUUGGUGGGAUUAAAAGCUUACCAAGCCAAUAAUGCUUAGCUGUUCUGGGAGGUUGUUCAGCCACAUGGGAACUGAGAAACGGUCCUAAUUUCAUUUGAAAUCAGCAGUGGGGAAUCUUGGUCAAUGAGCGAAAGCUUGAACCAGGAAUGUCAUGUGAGUGAGGACGGCGCAUUUAGUCGUAAAACUCUUGCCCUAUAGAAGAUAAUGACUGUAUUUAGGAGCAAGCGCUGGCCAAUACUCUUGCCAGCCGCCGCGGUAAUACGAGUAGCGCGAGUGUUACUCUCCUUGACUGGGCGUAAAGGGUGCGUAGGUUGUGUAAUAAGUUUUAAGUCAAAUUUUAUAUUGAUGAUAAUAAGAUUUUCAAUACUAUUACGCUAGAGUUUAUUGAAAGAUAACGGAACUUCUAUAUUCAGAGUUGAAAUGCGUUAAAGAUAGAGGGAACUCCAGAGGCGAAAGCGGUUAUCUAUAAUAAACUGACACUGAGGCACGAAGGCAUAGGAAUCGAAGAGGAUUAGGUACCCUCGUAGUCUAUGCUGUCAACGAUGAGUGUUAAACGUUAGAUUUUCUAAUGUUACAGCUAACGCGUGAAACACUCCGCCUGGGAACUACGAUCGCAAGAUUAAAACCUAAAGAAAUUGACGGAGAUCUGCUACAAGCAGUGGAACAUGUGAUUUAAUUCGAUACACCGCGAGAAAUCUUACCAAUCUUUGUCAUAUCGGAUAUAGAUAGUAGAUAUAUAUAGUUUAGGCUAUAUAUAAAUUUAUAUUCUAUCUUUUUUUAAAUAAUUUAUACAAAUAUUUAUUUAUAUAAUAUUUGAAUACAUAGUAUCUGAUACAGGUGCUGCAUGGCUGUCGUAAGUUCGUGUUGUGAGGCGUUAGGUUAAUUCCCAUAAACGAACGAGACCCUCAUUUAUAUUUAAGUACAAAGUACAAAUCAACUAUAAAUUUCGGGGACGACGUCAAGUCAUUAUGGCCUUGAUAGAUUGGGCUAUCCCAUGUGUUACAAAGGUAAUUACAAAAAGAAGCAAUAACGUGAGUUGGAGCAAAUCUUUAAAAAUUAUCAUAGUUCGGAUUGUUCUCUGAAACCCGAGAACAUGAAGUAGGAAUUGCUAGUAAUCGUAAAUGAUAACGUUACGGUGAAUGUGUAUCCAGAUCUUGUACAUACCGCCCGUCACGCCAUGGAAGUUCGUAGUUUUGUAUGAUAUUAUUGGAUUAUCUAUAAAAUAAAGAAUCAUCUUUAUUUGAGGGUAUAAAUAUAAUGUUCAAGGGACUGCUAAUAACUGAGGUGAAGUCGUAACAUGGUAGUCGUAGGGGAACCUGUGGCUGGAAUAAGGUAAAU